rnacentral:misc_RNA from 1 species
UACGGAGGGGGCUAGCGUUGUUCGGAAUUACUGGGCGUAAAGCGCACGUAGGCGGAUCAGUCAGUCAGAGGUGAAAUCCCAGGGCUCAACCCUGGAACUGCCUUUGAUACUGCUGGUCUAGAGAUCGAGAGAGGUGAGUGGAAUUCCGAGUGUAGAGGUGAAAUUCGUAGAUAUUCGGAGGAACACCAGUGGCGAAGGCGGCUCGCUGGCUCAUUUCUGACGCUGAGGUGCGAAAGCGUGGGGAGCAAACAGG